AAGACUAUAGACCUGCGGAGUACCUGCGGAGGGAUCAUUACCGAGUUUACAACUCCCAAACCCAAUGUGAACCAUACCAAACUGUUGCCUCGGCGGGGUCACGCCCCGGGUGCGUCGCAGCCCCGGAACCAGGCGCCCGCCGGAGGGACCAACCAAACUCUUUCUGUAGUCCCCUCGCGGACGUUAUUUCUUACAGCUCUGAGCAAAAAUUCAAAAUGAAUCAAAACUUUCAACAAUGGA
rnacentral:misc_RNA from 1 species